rnacentral:rRNA from 1 species
GCAUCUUCUUUUUGGUAGCCCAUUCCAUAAGAACUUCAUAGUUAAGCGUGCUUGACUUGGAGUAGUCUUUGGAUGGGUGACCUACUGGAAGUUUCCCAGUAAGCAUGCG